AAAACUUCAUAAUCUCUCUUGAAAAUCACUCAAAAAACAGUCUUAUCCCUUUUGUACAUAUACACGCCCACACCCACAACAAAGGAGGAAGAUCUACCAACUGAAGCUGGCACACUCGUAUCUAACCACUAUCAGAUGUAGGUGGUGAGAUGAGGAAGAAGCAAAGAUUUCCUGUUUACCCUGCGGUUAUAACAAAAUGAGAGGGAACCUUAUGUAAGCUAAAAUAUGUUGAUUAUAUACAGAGAACUACUUCUCUCUCACCUGUCUAAGUUUCUACACAGACUGAAUUGCACCUCCGCGCUUAUCCGCAUGAACAUCAAUGAAAUGGCUACCAGGUUUAAUUUUCUCAGUAUCCACAUCAUACGACGAUAUUAAUUUUCUCUGCAUCAAUCAUCAAGAAGAAAGAGAAUGAGUAACAGCAUGACGGAGAAAUGUUAUCUUAGUCUGCACCUAGUCAUUUACCAAAGGCAGGAAUUGCACCUCAGAAAAAUGAUCUUUUCGUUAGCAUUCUAUUUAACAUUUUAGCAUUUAUAGUCUCAAGAUGCAUUAGCUUAGAAGCUUUUUCCCAGUUACCAAAAGUAUUAGAAUCUCAAAUCUUGCUCCCCUUCAAGUGAAGACCUGACUAUGCCCUUGUACAAAGUAGGGCAAUGCUACAGCCUACAAGUCUACAGCAUAAUAGGGUAAGUAAUAUUAUUCUUAUUUGUCAAAUAAAAGUAAAGCAUUACAAGAGAAAUUUGAAGGUGUAAGACCUUUCUGACCAAUUUAAGUUUCAUCAGACAACCAGUUUCCAUUAUUCUAUCGAACAUCAUUUUUUUUGCCAAACAGACCAACUGUUUUAGGUUCUUAGAUUAUUAGUCAAAGAGUGUCUAAUGAAAAAAAAAGUUAUGUCCACUGUCGAGAGAAACAUGUGCGGAUGAUAUGAAAAGACGACUUACAUGAUCUUCAAAUUCAGGGCUUGUCAAAUUUACAGCGAGGUUCUUCAUCAACAACAACACCUAAAUAAAAUAAGAACCAGACAGAAUCCCACACAUAAAUUAUCAGGUUAAAGCAAUUUAAAAAAAUAAGCAACACAAUAUAUUGAAUUGUGGGUUGACCUCAUGUACAGAGUGUCAGUAAAGUAGUGAACGGAUACAUUCAGAUCUGUAUACAUAAGCCUCUUUCCACAAGGAUAUAAAAAGGAGGGACAAAGGGCUUUGAAAACUAAAUAGUACGCAAAUAAGUUGAAAACAGUGAGCAGUAUUUCAGUUCUUCAAACCGAGAAAGAAUUUAGUGAACAUGACUCAACAUGCAAAAAAAAUUACCUAAAGUUCCCCAAACAAUACCAAAAGAGUAAUUAUUUACACACUUGGAAUCUGACAUACCGUCUCAACAUUUAUUGGGUCCAUCAUCUUUAAUCUAUGCAGGUGACCACUUGCAUUGGAAUCGAAGACACUACCAAUGAAGCUGUACACUUGAGCAAAGUCCGGCAUAACUGUAGGUAACAUAAUAUAAAUGUGUAAGAAGAAGAAUAGGCAGUCAAAAAUGGUAUAAUGCUUUUGGAACACAGCAGUAAACAUAAAGAAGGUACCGAGUUACUGACCUUUCAUUGGCUUGCUUUGAUUUACUCCUUGAUUUGUUGUUUCACUAGUAGACCACAUCCUUGGAGUGUUACUAUUGCUACUAUAUCUACAGUUAUGCGCCUCGGCUGGUCCUGAUAACCCCACAUCAUCUACAGAACAUAAUAAAUAUAUGUUUGGCAGGAUGAACCGACUGAUUAAUUGAAAGAGGAUAAAAGAUAGCAAGAACAAACCUUUGACAUGUGAUGCAUUAACCGGUGGCAGAGUAUUGUUGGUCCA
rnacentral:lncRNA from 1 species